rnacentral:ncRNA from 2 species
AACGCCCGUCGCUAAACUGCGGGCCAGCGAAACUGACGGCUGCUGGAAGCCGGUGGGAAACCGGCGCGGUCGCGCCACUGUGACCGAACCCGUCGCGGGUUCGGAAGUCAGACCCAGCGCCGUCAUGAGAAACCCGC